CAUCAUAGCAGAGUGUAUGGAGGUGUCCCU
rnacentral:piRNA from 1 species